GCAGUGCGCCGAGAUCGCGCCAUUGCACUCCAGCCUGGGCGACAGAGGGAGACUCCGUCUCAAACAACAACAACAACAACAAACUCACAGAUACGUAGAGAAGAGACUACGCAAGGACAUAGUGAGAGGGCAGCCAUCUGCGAGCCACAAACAGAGGCCUCACCAGAAACCAACCCUGCAGGCACCUUGAUCUUGGACUUCCAGCUUGCAGACUGUGAGAAUAUACAUUUCUGUUGGUAUGAAUUCCAGUAAAACCUUGAACAGAAGUGGUGAUGGCAGAAUUCAUAUCAACAAUGCGAGUCUAGAAAAUGCUCAAGGGACAUGAAGGAGAAGAUAGCAUUUUACAGACUCCUAUGAAAGGACACCUUUUAAUCUCUCUCCCCAUUACACUUAGGUGAGUAGUUGAUAUGAAGAUGGACAAAAUUAAAAUUUAAAAAUGUUUGAAUAGCUAUUUGACAAUCAUGAUAUGUAAUACACUCACUAUAAUUAAAAAACACACUCUGUAAUAAACUGCCAAAAUGUUUAUUAUGAAUAAUAAAAAGUAACAGAGGCACCGAUCAAUUCCUAUUGCUACCAAAUCUUUCUGAAGAGGGAAAUGACAAAUUUCUGAAAUCUCUUCACUUCUAAUGCUUUAAAAUUGAGCUUUAAAAAAAAGUUUUGGCUGGGUGAUGUGGCUCACAUCUGUAAUCCCAGCACUUUGGGAAGAUGAGGCAGGAGAAUCUCUUGACCUCAGGAGUUCAAGUUUACAGUGAGCUGUGAUCAUGCUACUGCACUCCGGCUUGGAGGUAUAAUUGGUACACAAGGAACCAAACCUAUCAAUGUGUACAAUUUGAUGAGUUUGAACAUAUGUAAACACCCGUGAUAUCAUUACCACAGUCAAGGUAACAGACAUACACAAACCUCCCAAUGUUUCCUUUUAUCUCUUUGCUUGGGUGUGUGUGUGUUAAGAACACUUAAUAUGAGAUCUAAUUUCUUAACAAAUUACGAUGUGCACAGUACCAAACUGUUAACUAUAAGUGCUGUUUAUACAGCAGAUCUCUAAAACUCAUUUGUCCAGCAUAACUAAGACUUUAUACCCUUUGAAUAAUAACCCCUCAUUUUUCCCACUUGCCAGCCCCUGCAACUGUUGCUUCAAUGAGUUUGACUAUUUUAAAUACCACAUAUAAGUAGAAUCAAGCAAUAUUAAGUGUGGGCAAGGUGAGGUAACAGAGAAAUUGGAACUCUUGUAGAAUGUUGGUGAUGGGAAUGUAAAAUGGUGCAGUUGCUAUGAAAAUAGUAUGAAAAUUCCUCAAAAUAUUUAAAAUAAAAUGACUAUGUAUUCCAGCAAUCCCACUUCUAGGUAUCUAUCUGAAAGAAUUAAGAUUUGGACUGAAAGAGAUAAUCUGCACUUCCAUAUUCAUUCCAGAACUUUUCACAAUAGCCAAGAUUUAGAAACAAACCAACUGUCCAUCGGCAGAUAAAUGGAUUUUUUAAAAAUGUGGUAUAUACAUAAAAUGGAAUAUUAUUCAGUUUUUAAAAAGAAGGAAAUCCAGCCAUUUGCCCCAACAUGGAUGAACCUGAAGGACAUUUGCUAAAUAAACUGAGCUUGGAAAACAUACGUUUCUUCUGCCUAAAUAACAAUGGAAUAGUGAAACCUCUAAAUAAUCUAAGGGAGUUCAGUCCACCCUCAUCCUCCAUUCUUUUUAUAAGAUGGUGAAAAGGGACCUGCUCAACUGUCAGACGUAGAACAUUGUUCAGAAAGACAUUUGCUUUAGCAUCUGCCUUUGAAACACUGAAGGAUCCCCAAACUCAUUGUCAAAGAAAAAAAACAAAACAGGAAGGGAGGUUAUACUGUUUCCCACUGUGAAAACAUUUCCCAAAUAAAAUAUUAAGCACUUGAGUGUCAUUAUGGAUUAAUCUUUAAUGACAUUUUUCUGAGCACUGUGAUGACCUGGAAUGAAUCUGUAAUAACAUGACCUGGUGAUCCCAUAGGCAUGGGACCUUUGAGAUCUACACAAGAUUAAUAACCAGAGGAUGGUCCCAAGGGGUCUAUCAAAAUAUCCAUUACAGCGAUUAUUUGAUACCCUAUGUAAUACUGCAUUUUUAACAAAUAAUGUCCAGUGUAUUUUGUGUUUCCCAUGAGAUCUGUGUCCACACUGUUAGGAAGUAGACUUUAAUACUAUGAAUUAAACUAACAGUCUUUAUUUGCAAUCCUGUUAUCCAUUUGAAACUCACAUGGAAACUUUCUCACACAGGGGAGAAACAGACUUUUGUAUUAAAGAUUCCUUUAAUCUUGGUUGAUUUUUAUUAAAAAUGUCUUCAUGUCUGCCCUUAACAAUUUUCAUUGUUCUAUGCACUUUUUUUUGAGUUUUCAAAUUUGAUAUUUUAAUGAAUCUCAACUGUUCUUAAAAUAGUCUUAUUACUUAACUUUUUUUGCUUUUAUAUUUACUUAUAUGCUGCUGCUCUUUUGAAUUUAGUCUAUUUCCUAGGUAGCAUUCAUAACUCAUGGCCACAUACUUGUUUCUGAAUGAAAUGUUUUCAUUUUUACUUUACUUCCACAAUGAAAUGUUUUCAUUUUUACUUUAUUUCUUGCAACCCACAUGCUCUUUUCUCCUUUUAGCUUAUUCACCUUAUUAUUUUUCUAUGAGUUGCCAUGUGGUUGUGAUAAAGUUCAAUUUCUUUACUUUUUAAUUUUGCUGGUAAUUUACCACUUAAUUCAAACAUAUCUUGAGCAAUUAUGGUCUCAUAUACCUAAAUUUGCUUUAUAUUUUUUCUUCUGGUAUCUGAGCAAGUUAAAAACGACUAAGAUUUUCUUAUUUCCAUGAAAAGUAAACAUUUAGGAAAUGUGUAUAAUUAUCACCAUAUUAGUUUGCAUGCCAAAGAAGUGAGAGCUUUGGGUAUGAAAACUAUAAUCAUAAAAAAGAUACAGAAAUAAUAUUAAAAGCAUAUAAACUUCAUUUUUCAGACUUUGAGAUUAGCAUGCUUCAUUUGUAUGGAGCUUUGGAUAUAAAGAUUGCUCUGUCAAACUCAAUUUUAUUGUUUAAACUCUUUAGUUUUUUAUGUUUAUAUCACUCGUUAUGAUGUUUUCUAAACUACUGACACAUAUACACACACACAUAUAUAUAUUUAAGUAUAAAUAUUUACCCUUAAGUUCACUCAUCAGUUAUUCUGCCUCCAUUACAUUCUCAUAUAAAUGCAGAUCUUGUUUCUACAACUCUGUAUUUUUCAGACAUGUAAAAUGCCCAUUCAUAACCAGCUUCAAUCACUAGGUUGUAGGAU